rnacentral:lncRNA from 1 species
CGCCAAGGUCUCCAUCACCUCUUUGUUGGUAGGAUUUUUUGUUUUGUUUUUUUAUAAAAUGACGACGGAGUCACACCAAAACCCUUACCCCUCACACGACCGAAUACUCAGAACAUUUAGUACUCGACUAAGUACGCUCCUGCAAUCCUGGACCUCGGUUGAAGGGGUUUGGGAUAAAGUCUCCUGAAAUAUUAUUAGAGGAGAUUAAAAAUGAAUUAUAUGUCUAACAAAAUUUUCGAUAUAAUUAAAG